rnacentral:rRNA from 1 species
AUUGAACGCUGGCGGCAGGCCUAACACAUGCAAGUCGAGCGAGCGGCGGACGGGUGAGUAAUGUCUGGGAAACUGCCUGAUGGAGGGGGAUAACUACUGGAAACGGUAGCUAAUACCGCAUACUAUCAGAUGUUCCCAGAUGGGCUUAGCUAGUAGGUGGGGUAACGGCUCACCUAGGCGACGAUCCCUAGCUGGUCUGAGAGGAUGACCAGCCACACUGGAACUGAGACACGGUCCAGACUCCUACGGGAGGCAGCAGUGGGGAAUAUUGCACAAUGGGCGAAAGCCUGAUGCAGCCAUGCCGCGUGUGUGAAGAAGGCCUUCGGGUUGUAAAGCACUUUCAGCGGGGAGGCGUUACCCGCAGAAGAAGCACCGGCUAACUCCGUGCCAGCAGCCGCGGUAAUUC